rnacentral:lncRNA from 1 species
AAACAGCGAUUCUUCUGCAGUGAAUCACUUCCAGAAAUGAAUAGCCACAGUUUUUUGGAAUGAACGUUGUGAAAUCCCUCCUUUAUAAUGGCAGGUUUUCAGUUGGUGGUUUUAUCAGAAUUUCUCAAGAUCAAAACGAAACCUUCUCUUUAAAAAGGAAAGAAAGUACUAUCGAUACAGAAAGCAAAAGUAUUUCCAGUCUCCUACUGAACUGUCACGGCAGACCUCUCUGUAUCUAUAUUUAGAGCUGUAUGUCCAUAUAUUUGCCUGAAUGUGUGAGUUCUUGGAAGUAUGGAUUCAUUGCCAGGAGCUGGUGAUUUCCUAAGCAGAGGUCGCUAACUACAAGAAAUGUUACACUCGGACAAGUCCUGCGCUUGGGGAUCCUCUGUACGCCCGUUCACUGGUGCAGGUCUUCUGAACAAAUGCCUCCUGAGGAUUUCUGUGCCUGGAAAAUAUCUGUUAACAGACUGCUUUUACACCUACAUCAGGAUACCGAAGCUCAGAAAAAUUAAAUGAUUUGCCCAGGAUCACAUAGUUAGUAAGCAGCCCAGCCAGAUCCUGUGUUAACUUGUUCAUCCGCUUCCUAUAAGAAAACAUCCAUUCAAGGCACAUGGGGCAACAAAGAAGGACUUAGAGCUGUGUGGCCCCUCGUCAGGGCAGUACCAGUUGCACCCAUAGUCCGGCCUGAAUACUCAGCUUAGGACUAUUGUGUCCAAUGUCCCAAACAUUUUGAAGCUACAUCUUAAAGAAGUGUCCUGCUCAGAUGCAGUUCUCCUUGUGAAAUCCGCAGGCCCCAAGGAAAGUGACUUUAAUCCAGUUUGCUCAUGCAAGAACAGACUGGCAUUUCACAUCCAGGAAAACAAUGGAUUUGUACUGUUCAGCUUUUGCCAUGCAAGGAGUUCCUGGUGUGGUUUAUUAAUUUACAUCUCAGGCUCCAGCUUCACUAUCAAUCAGAUUUGGAAGAAAAAAGUUACAAAGAAAGGCAGCUUGCUGAGAAACAGCGGAAGCAUGACGGUACAGACUGGGUUUUGAAAUGGAGACACAUUCUCAUGGCUUGUGGGCUGAGAGACACUGAGAAAGGAUUUUGUUCUUGAAAGAUGAUUGUUUUAAUGCUGGAGAUGGAGAGUUUUGACAAUUUUAAGUGCAUGUUCUGUGUGUAAGAAAGAGUCAUUACGUUUUUUUUUUCUUUCAGAUGUUGCCAUGCCUUAAAAUUGCUGAUGAUUAAAAUAGAACAUCCUGAGUUACAGAAAUUCAGCCCUAGUGUAUCCUGGCCUAAAAAUACAGAACAAUCAAGUUGAUUGUUGGAAAUGAGAGGCUAGGCAGGGUUGGAAACAUGCUAAUGUUUACUGAGUGAAAUCUUUCCUUCUCAGUAGAGUUGCCCUUGCAGCUGAAAGUCACUGAAAGACUCAACAAAAUAAGCAGAUCCCACUUGUCUCACUCUGUUCUCCUAUGCAUGCCCUGGAAAGAGAAUGAAUGAGCCCUUUUUAAUUUAUCAACUGGUUUUCUUCCAUCUCUUUACUAGUGAGCCAUGGGGGUUUUUUGCCGUUAACUGGGUAGCCAGUCUCUUCAUGGAGACUUAUUUUCAGGAAACUAGCCUCUUGCUUUAUGUGAAAACAAGGACCCAACUCAA